rnacentral:rRNA from 1 species
GGCGUCGUGAUGUAUACGACUCACUUAGAGUUUGAUCAUGGCUCAGGAUGAACGCUGGCGGCGUGCUUAACACAUGCAAGUCGAACGAUGAACCUGGGUGCUUGCAUCUGGGGGAUUAGUGGCGAACGGGUGAGUAACACGUGAGCAACCUGCCCCUGACUCUGGGAUAAGCGCUGGAAACGGUGUCUAAUACUGGAUAUGUCCUAUCACCGCAUGGUGUGUGGGUGGAAAGAUUUUUCGGUUGGGGAUGGGCUCGCGGCCUAUCAGCUUGUUGGUGAGGUAAUGGCUCACCAAGGCGUCGACGGGUAGCCGGCCUGAGAGGGUGACCGGCCACACUGGGACUGAGACACGGCCCAGACUCCUACGGGAGGCAGCAGUGGGGAAUAUUGCACAAUGGGCGCAAGCCUGGUGCAGCAACGCCGCGUGAGGGAUGACGGCCUUCGGGUUGUAAACCUCUUUUAGCAGGGAAGAAGCGAGAGUGACGGUACCUGCAGAAAAAGCACCGGCUAACUACGUGCCAGCAGCCGCGGUAAUACGUAGGGUGCAAGCGUUAUCCGGAAUUAUUGGGCGUAAAGAGCUCGUAGGCGGUUUGUCGCGUCUGCUGUGAAAUCCCGAGGCUCAACUUCGGGCUUGCAGUGGGUACGGGCAGACUAGAGUGCGGUAGGGGAGAUUGGAAUUCCUGGUGUAGCGGUGGAAUGCGCAGAUAUCAGGAGGAACACCGAUGGCGAAGGCAGAUCUCUGGGCCGUAACUGACGCUGAGGAGCGAAAGGGUGGGGAGCAAACAGGCUUAGAUACCCUGGUAGUCCACCCCGUAAACGUUGGGAACUAGUUGUGGGGUCCUUUCCACGGAUUCCGUGACGCAGCUAACGCAUUAAGUUCCCCGCCUGGGGAGUACGGCCGCAAGGCUAAAACUCAAAGGAUUUGACGGGGACCCGCACAAGCGGCGGAGCAUGCGGAUUAUUCGAUGCAACGCGAAGAACCUUACCAAGGCUUGACAUACACCAGAACACCCUGGAAACAGGGGACCCUUUGGACACUGGUGAACAGGGGGUGCAUGGUG